CGCGCUCUGACCGGAAGGCGGAAGCGGCGGAGCCGAGCCCGGUGGCGGCGGAGGCGCGGCGGUUCCGGGGCGAUGGCGGCGGGCGGCAGCCUGAGCCGCUCCGAGCGGAAAGCGGCGGCGCGCGCCGAGAUCCUGCAGCAGGAGGAGCAGCGGGACCGCCGGAGACAGGUAUCCCGCAUCUGGAGGAAGCCGCCGGCGGAGCGGAGCCCCGAGGAGUGCCAGGUGCUGAGUGAGAGCGAGGACAUCGUCAGGGAGCUGGAGCGGCGCCGCAAGCGGCGCGAGCGGCUGCGGCGGCGGCAGGAGGAGGUGUGCGAUGAGCCAGAGGAGCUGAAGAGGAAGGUGGCUGAGCUGGCAGCAGCAGUGCGGAGCGCCAGGCACCUCGUCAUCUACACGGGCGCUGGGAUCAGCACGGCAGCUUCGAUCCCAGACUACAGAGGCCCCAAUGGCAUUUGGACACUGCUACAGAAGGGCAGGAGCAUCAGGGCUGCAGACCUGAGUGAGGCAGAGCCUACACUCACUCAUAUGAGCAUUGCCUGCCUGCACAAGCACAACCUGGUGCAGCAUGUGGUGUCUCAGAACUGUGAUGGGCUGCACCUGCGGAGCGGGUUACCCCGAGCUGCAAUAUCUGAGCUUCACGGGAACAUGUACAUAGAGGUCUGCACUUCCUGCACACCCAACAGAGAGUAUGUGCGAGUGUUUGACGUGACGGAGCGCACAGCCCUGCACAGGCACCACACGGGCAGGAUGUGCCACAAGUGUGGGUCACAGUUGAGAGAUACAAUCGUCCACUUUGGGGAGAAGGGGACAUUGAGACAGCCCCUGAACUGGGAAGCAGCAACAGAAGCUGCAAGCAAAGCAGAUGUGAUUCUUUGUCUGGGUUCCAGCUUAAAGGUAACUUUAGAGACUCGGUGAAGAUUGUUAGCAGCAUUCCCUCUUGGUGAUACACCUUGGUGCUGAGCAGUCUCCUCCCAAACAGACAACUGUAAACUCUGGUGUCAGGAUUCGCCCAACAUCUGUGAUAGUCUCUCUUCCUCCCUCUUUCCCCUCCUGGUUUUGAAAAAAUACCCGCGGCUCUGGUGCA